CGUAGGGGACGAGCGUUGUCCGGAUUCAUUGGGCGUAAAGCGCGCGUAGGCGGCUCGGAAAGUCGGUCGUGAAAUCCUGGGGUUCAACCCCGGAACUGCGUCCGAUACUCCCGAGCUGGAGGCAGGUAGGGGAGAUCGGAAUUCCUGGUGUAGCGGUGAAAUGCGCAGAUAUCAGGAGGAACACCGGUGGCGAAGGCGGAUCUCUGGGCCUUGCCUGACGCUGAGGCGCGAAAGCUAGGGGAGCGAACAGGAUUAGAUACCCUGGUAGUCCUAGCCGUAAACGUUGGGUGCUAGGUGUGGGCGGAUAUCGACCCCGUCCGUGCCGAAGCUAACGCAUUAAGCACCCCGCCUGGGGAGUACGGCCGCAAGGCUA
rnacentral:rRNA from 1 species